UACGGGGGGGGGCAAGCGUUUGUUCGGAAUUACUGGGCGUAAAGGGCUCGUAGGCGGCCAACUAAGUCAUACGUGAAAUCCCUCGGCUUAACCGGGGAACUGCGUCUGAUACUGGAUGGCUUGAGUUCGGGAGAGGGAUGCGGAAUUCCAGGUGUAGCGGUGAAAUGCGUAGAUAUCUGGAGGAACACCGGUGGCGAAGGCGGCAUCCUGGACCGAUACUGACGCUGAGGAGCGAAAGCCAGGGGAGCAAACGGG
rnacentral:rRNA from 1 species